rnacentral:rRNA from 1 species
UACGUAGGGUGCGAGCGUUGUCCGGAAUUAUUGGGCGUAAAGAGCUUGUAGGCGGUUUGUCGCGUCUGCUGUGAAAACCCGAGGCUCAACCUCGGGCCUGCAGUGGGUACGGGCAGACUAGAGUGCGGUAGGGGAGAUUGGAAUUCCUGGUGUAAGCGGUGAAAUGCGCAGAUAUCAGGAGGAACACCGGUGGCGAAGGCGGGUCUCUGGGCAACAACUGACGCUGAGGAGCGAAAGCGUGGGGAGCGAACAGG